AGCGGCGGACGGGUGAGUAACACGUGGGUAACCUGCCCAAGAGACUGGGAUAACACCUGGAAACAGAUGCUAAUACCGGAUAACAACACUAGACGCAUGUCUAGAGUUUAAAAGAUGGUUCUGCUAUCACUCUUGGAUGGACCUGCGGUGCAUUAGCUAGUUGGUAAGGUAACGGCUUACCAAGGCAAUGAUGCAUAGCCGAGUUGAGAGACUGAUCGGCCACAUUGGGACUGAGACACGGCCCAAACUCCUACGGGAGGCAGCAGUAGGGAAUCUUCCACAAUGGACGCAAGUCUGAUGGAGCAACGCCGCGUGAGUGAAGAAGGGUUUCGGCUCGUAAAGCUCUGUUGGUAGUGAAGAAAGAUAGAGGUAGUAACUGGCCUUUAUUUGACGGUAAUUACCUAGAAAGUCACGGCUAACUACGUGCCAGCAGCCGCGGUAAUACGUAGGUGGCAAGCGUUGUCCGGAUUUAUUGGGUUUAAAGGGUGCGUAGGCGGCCUGCCAAGUCAGCGGUAAAAUUGCGGGGCUCAACCCCGUACAGCCGUUGAAACUGCCGGGCUCGAGUGGGCGAGAAGUAUGCGGAAUGCGUGGUGUAGCGGUGAAAUGCAUAGAUAUCACGCAGAACCCCGAUUGCGAAGGCAGCAUACCGGCCCCCUACUGACGCUGANGCACGAAAGUGCGGGGAUCAAACAGGAUUAGAUACCUGGUA
rnacentral:rRNA from 1 species